rnacentral:misc_RNA from 1 species
GUAUUUAUUCAUAUAUAGGCUGCAAUAGCCUUGUAUAACGUUCUUUAACAUACAUUGGUGUAUUUGUAUUAAUCAUAGGACCUGAAGGGUCAGAAAAAGCCGUUAUUUCAACAGCAGUUCCCAGAAAUCAAAGACAACCUUUGAUCAAUUUCUUCAGACCUAUGCAAAGUGCACUUGGUGGAAAAAUAAAAAUGACAAGUGUGCACAUGCCCAAAAAAAAUUGAGCCAGCAACAAACUCAUCAAGUUUACUCUGUAAUGAUCCUUCCGCAGGUUCACCUACGGAAA